UAGUCAUAUGCUUGUCUCAAAGAUUAAGCCAUGCAUGUCUAAGUAUAAGCAAUCUAUACGGUGAAACUGCGAAUGGCUCAUUAAAUCAGUUAUCGUUUAUUUGAUAGUACCUUGCUACAUGGAUACCUGUGGUAAUUCUAGAGCUAAUACAUGCUAAAAACCUCGACUUCGGAAGGGGUGUAUUUAUUAGAUAAAAAACCAAUGCCCUUCGGGGCUCCUUGGUGAUUCAUAAUAACUUAACGAAUCGCAUGGCCUUGCGCCGGCGAUGGUUCAUUCAA
rnacentral:rRNA from 1 species